GCAGCGCCUACAGUAGGCCAGCGGCUGGAACAGUUUGGCGCGGACCGCGGUUGUCGCAAGUCGGGCAGCGGCUCCUUGCUGGCUCUCUCCGGGCGCGCGUCCCUGGUAUUCUGCCCCAGUCAGCCGCCCGGGUGCGUCUCUCCCCAGCUCCAGCGGCUCGGUCACUGCUUCUGGCUGUUGACUGAGCUCUGGAAGCCCCCUCGCCUUAAUGCAGCGCCCGCCGACGUCACGGCGGUCUGCGACCAAUCAGCGUCUCGCGGUCCCUCUGUAAACCAUUCUGCAUCCCCCGGCCUGAGAGAGUGCGGGGAGACCGCGUUUAGAGGAUCAGUGGCGGCGGUACUUACCGCCCCGUGCGGCACAGGCGACAGGCAGCGAGGUGCCGUGGACUCCUCCUGCUCCGGAAGAAAAGAAAGAGCAAGGUGUAGCUGAUUAGCAAGUUAAUUAUUUCAGUACCCCAAGGGUUCCAGUGUGGUGAGACAGCCCAUGACACCAGAUUCCAGAGAAUCAGCUUCCUGACUUCAGCAGCACAAGGAUGGCAGUACUUUCUGGUGCCGGCAUUCAGCUGUCCCUCGAAGGUUGGCUGCUUCCCCUGCUGGUGGAGAGGGCUGGGGGCUGUCUGAAAAGAUGGUGCUGAUGACUGCUGCACUGCUGGUGGCGGGAGAGUCGGGGAGCAGGGGUGGGUCCAAUUGCUGUUCAAGUUGGACUUGGUCUCCUUUGACUUGUAGUCCUAGGAAAUCUCGACAGGAGAAAUGGUAGCGAGAGAAACUUUGAAUACAGGAAGGGCAGGCAGAGGGAGGAGGUUCUCAUUUCAGUCUUGCCAAAAUGAAGGCCAGGGAUGGUAGUGACAGAUGUUAGAGAGUAAGGCACUGAGGUGCCAUGUGGGAUCUUGGCCCAGACUCAGGAGAUGAAUAAGUCCUUGGCAAGUUUGGAAAGACUUAUGAGUGCCAUUUAUUCAUCAUCUCUGGGGAUUAAAUGGGAUUUUUUUCUGCUGCCCAGUGGCUGGGAAGGAAGUGUUUUUAGCUCGUUUGAUGCUCCACCAUCUUCUUGCUCAUGUCCCAGUUUGACCUUGUGGAGGAAGACUCUGACUUUCUGGACUCUAGUUUUUCUUUGCCUCAAGCCAUUCAUAAUGGAGCCAGGACUCUAGUUCACUGGCCAGACCUGGGUCUGAACCGUGAGCUGGCAGACCUGUGACCAUGUGAUCGGCAAGCCUUUUCUCAUCUGGGCUCAAAGAAGGACAUAGUUCCCCUUAAAAAAGAAGAGCAGGGACCACUUCUGUGAGUCUUUUCAGGAAGGAUUUACCCCUAAUUUGAUAAGUACGGUGCUUCCUUUCCUUCUGAAUGAAUGAAUAACUUUGUCAGUCAACCUGAGGGUCUGUGAACCUAUUAAAAUGCUUCCUUUGGUUUCCCGUUGAACACACGCUGGGGCUCCGGCCUGCCUCUGACAGACUGGGAGGAGUAGACACAUUCCAGAAACGAGGUCUUGGAGUGUUAUCUCUUCCCCACCCCAAAUCCUCCCCCUCUACUUUAUCUCUCUUUAUUACAAAUGCAGAACCCUCCUAGGGAAGUGGGAAGGUUUUAAUUGGGUUUGGGGAAGGAAGGGAAAUAAGGUGAGCCCUAAAGAAAGAUGGGGGAAGUUGGGAUUUUAGAUGAUGCUCUUCUGUUAUCUUUCUUGUGUGUUGUAUAUUAUAUCCUACAAAUUAUGCAUUUGUUGUAGUAAUCUACAGCAUAUUUUGUACACUUGCAAAAUGCUGCUUGGUCAAAACAGUGUUAAAUAAAAUUGUAAGAA